rnacentral:rRNA from 1 species
ACGAACGCUGGCGGCGUGCUUAACACAUGCAAGUCGAACGGAAAGGCCUCAGCUUGCUGGGGUACUCGAGUGGCGAACGGGGGAGUAACACGUGGGUGAUCUGCCUUGCACUCUGGGAUAAGCUUGGGAAACUGGGUCUAAUACCGGAUAUGAACUGCCUUUAGUGUGGUGGUUGGAAAGUUUUUUCGGUGCAAGAUGAGCUCGCGGCCUAUCAGCUUGUUGGUGGGGUAAUGGCCUACCAAGGCGUCGACGGGUAGCCGGCCUGAGAGGGUGUACGGCCACAUUGGGACUGAGAUACGGCCCAGACUCCUACGGGAGGCAGCAGUGGGGAAUAUUGCACAAUGGGCGGAAGCCUGAUGCAGCGACGCCGCGUGGGGGAUGACGGCCUUCGGGUUGUAAACUCCUUUCGACAGGGACGAAGCUUUUUGUGACGGUACCUGUAUAAGAAGCACCGGCUAACUACGUG